GAAAAUAUGUUCUUUUAGUAUUUCUCCUGUAGGUUUCCUGAAGGAGGAAGCCUCC
ensembl:snRNA U7 U7 small nuclear RNA